rnacentral:rRNA from 1 species
UACGGAGGUGGCGAGCGUUGUCCGAAGUUACUGGGCGUAAAGAGCUCGUAGGCGGUCUGUCGCGUCGGCUGUGAAAACCCGGGGCUCAACCCCGGGCCUGCAGUCGAUACGGGCAGACUAGAGUGUGGUAGGGGAGACUGGAAUUCCUGGUGUAGCGGUGAAAUGCGCAGAUAUCAGGAGGAACACCGGUGGCGAAGGCGGGUCUCUGGGCCGAUACUGACGCUGAGGAGCGAAAGCGUGGGGAGCGAACAGG